GGCCGUUCGUCUGGUGUCACUCUACACCUCGAGGACAUUGUGGCUCACCAGAGGCCAGUGUGGUUCAGAGAAGGUUUGGAAACGUCUGAAACCUCUAACCACAGGAGCGGCCGGCCACCCAAGCCGACACAAUGUGGGUGAGAGCCAAUAUCAGCAAUGAUGAUGAUGAUGAUGAUGAUGCCACCCACUGCUGUGCCACAGAGAGGAAGUUCACAGAAGUGAUGAUCUGAAGUGAAGAGGAGAAGAUGAAGACUGUCAUUGGCUGAGAGAGUGUGACCGCGUCCUGGAGGAAACUGAGAAAGACGUAGCGUGUGAUUGGUUACUAUUAGAAGACUAAUGGGUGUGACAUUGAUAAGGACCGUAACCUGAUCGCAUGUUUUUAGUGCUAACUCCUGCAAUCCCGUCCAGCCAUCAAUCAUUAUUGCACGCCGGGCAAACUCCCUCGGCUCGCUAAAUAUUUAAUCAGCUUUAAAAAAGAUUACGGGCCAACUUUAUUUCUCAAGUCUUCAGACUUUUAUUUACAUUGUUCUCUAUUACAAUACAUUGCUAUUUACCAGAUUAGGCAACCAUGUAAAUAUCACAAUAAUGUAAUCGUUCAGUACCAUAUAGUUUCUACUACCUUGGUAUUACAAAACUUUAACCUUAAUACUGCGACAGGGUAAUAUUACAUACGGAUUAUUUUCUGAUACCCUUUAUUAAUUUCGAUCUAAGACUUCCUCUAAAACACGUGACCCUACUUUAAUCCAUAACAUUUCACCCAUGCACACAAACACCGUCCACAGCUGACGUCGACCCUCCGUCCCGGUCCACUGACACAUUCCCAAAGUCACCCGACACCUGAGACCUUCCAGCAGAGCCAUAAUUAAAGUAUACAUUACUGCAUACAGGACGGUGUCCAGUGACCAGAACAGAGAUCUGAUAGCUGCGGCUCUGAUUCUACAGCACCGGACCCCCAUUAGCAGCAUGUGAAUCGUGUAGUGAGGUCCAGGGGUCGGCGAUGUUGAUCGCGUCUGGUCCGUGUGAGUCCAACUCUCGGCUGGAUACAGACAGUGACGGCCCAUACGCUUCAUCUGUGAUUACAGGACUUUUCCAUCUCACGGAUCUGCCAGCAACUCCCACAGUAUUGAUCCUCUAAUAAAAGUCAACAUGGAGAGCAGAAAGAUGCUGAAUAAAAUUA